rnacentral:rRNA from 1 species
AUUGAACGCUGGCGGCAGGCCUAACACAUGCAAGUCGAGCGGAUGAAGGGAGCUUGCUCCUGGAUUCAGCGGCGGACGGGUGAGUAAUGCCUAGGAAUCUGCCUGGUAGUGGGGGAUAACGUCCGGAAACGGGCGCUAAUACCGCAUACGUCCUGAGGGAGAAAGUGGGGGAUCUUCGGACCUCACGCUAUCAGAUGAGCCUAGGUCGGAUUAGCUAGUUGGUGGGGUAAAGGCCUACCAAGGCGACGAUCCGUAACUGGUCUGAGAGGAUGAUCAGUCACACUGGAACUGAGACACGGUCCAGACUCCUACGGGAGGCAGCAGUGGGGAAUAUUGGACAAUGGGCGAAAGCCUGAUACAGCCAUACCGCGUGUGUGAAGAAGGUCUUCGGAUUGUAAAGCACUUUAAGUUGGGAGGAAGGGCAGUAAGUUAAUACCUUGCUGUUUUGACGUUACCAACAGAAUAAGCACCGGCUAACUUCAUG